UCCAACUCUCCCCUCCCAGACUCCCAUGAAAAGAAUAGAGGGCGAUGCAGCCGCUGGAACGGAGCUCUGAAGUACUGCUGCAACGUGGAGAUGGGAAUAUGCCAUCAGCUCCACUACCUUGCUCCACAGAGGGACGCAAUGAAGGAAACCAACCAGUCUGGAGGAUGUGGAACCACUGGGGAACCUCUCCC